GAGUUUGAUCAUGGCUCAGGACGAACGCUGGCGGCGUGCUUAACACAUGCAAGUCGAACGGUAAGGCCCCUUCGGGGUACGACGAGUGGCGAACGGGUGAGUAACACGUGAGCAACCUGCCCUUGACACUGGAAUAACAGUUGGAAACAGCUGCUAAUGCCGGAUACGACCUCGUGACAUCACCUCGAGGUGGAAAGUAGCUUAGCGGUCGAAGGAUGGCGUCGCGGCCUAUCAGCUAGUUGGUGAGGUAACGGCGUCACC
rnacentral:rRNA from 1 species